GUUUCAAGUGGACAGAAGAAAACCCCUCUUGGCUUUGAACAUGAACAUCUUAAAGAGUCCAGUUCAGCUACGCUUGGUAUGUCGGCUGAUGACUACCACACCAUGACACCAUCUGGUAGAAGGACAUCAUGCCAUCCUUCAGGGAGAAGAGGCCAUCUUGCAAAUGGAUCUGCUAGAUUUCAUACUAUGCCAGAAGAAAGGGAAUAAUAAAUGGAUGACUGAGAAAGAAUCAGAGCAAGGCUUGGAAGGAUAAGAAUGAACACUUAUAUCUCAUAAUCUCACUCAUGUCACAUUGUCAUGCUUUAUAGAGGAGUGCUGUCAUCUUUGACUAAAAUGAAUAUUGACUUCUGUUUGGAGCUGAGAGCUUUUUUGAGGGGGUGUAUGAGAAAGUCAGAUGCAAAUUGAUUAAAUUAAAAUUAUAAAGCGAAAAAAGCAA